rnacentral:rRNA from 1 species
GAUGAACGCUGGCGGCGUGCCUAAUACAUGCAAGUCGAGCGAACAGAUGAGGAGCUUGCUCCUCUGACGUUAGCGGCGGACGGGUGAGUAACACGUGGAUAACCUACCUAUAAGACUGGGAUAACUUCGGGAAACCGGAGCUAAUACCGGAUAAUAUAUUGAACCGCAUGGUUCAAUAGUGAAAGACGGUUUUGCUGUCACUUAUAGAUGGAUCCGCGCCGCAUUAGCUAGUUGGUAAGGUAACGGCUUACCAAGGCAACGAUGCGUAGCCGACCUGAGAGGGUGAUAGGCCACACGGGAACUGAGACACGGUCAAGACUCCUAAGGGAGGCAGCAGUAGGGAAUCUUCCGCAAUGGGCGAAAGCAUGACGGAGCAACGCCGCGUGAGUGAUGAAGGUCUUCGGAUCGUAAAACUCUGUUAUUAGGGAAGAACAAAUGUGUAAGUAACUAUGCACGUCUUGACGGUACCUAAUCAGAAAGCCACGGCUAACUACGUG